GACGAACGCUGGCGGCGUGCUUAACACAUGCAAGUCGAACGGAAAGGCCCUGCUUUUGUGCGGUGCUCGAGUGGCGAACGGGUGAGUAACACGUGUGUAAACCGCCCUUUAAUUUGGGAUAAAUUCAGGAAACUGGGGCUAAAACCCGAUAGAAGCUCCUGCCGCAUGGUGUGGGAUGGAAAGUUUCGGCGUUUGGGGAUGGAUUCGCGGCUUUGCAGCUAGUUGGUGGGGUAGUGGCUUAACAAGGUUUUGAUGGGUAGCCGCAGUGAGUGGGUGAUCGGCCGCACUGGAAGUGAGACAGGGCCCAUACGACUACGGGAGGGAGCAGUAGGGAAUCGUGCGCAAGGGGCGGAAGCUUGACCGAGCAAGGCCGCGUGUGUGAUGAAGAUCUUCGGGUGGUAAAACACGGUUUUCAGGUAAGAACCCGUUUGCACGUAACAGUACGCGUGAUGAAGGUAACUGAUGAAAAAGCCACGGCUAACUACGUG
rnacentral:rRNA from 1 species